rnacentral:rRNA from 1 species
AUUGAACGCUGGCGGCAGGCCUAACACAUGCAAGUCGAACGAGUGGCGGACGGGUGAGUAAUGUCUGGGAAACUGCCUGAUGGAGGGGGAUAACUAAUGGAAACGGUAGCUAAUACCGAAUAACAUCAGAGGUGACCAGAUGGGAUUAGCUAGUUGGUGGGGUAACGGCUCACCAAGGCGACGAUCCCUAGCUGGUGUGAGAGGAUGACCAACAACACUUGAACUGAGACACGGUCCAGACUCCUACGGGAGGCAGCAGUGGGGAAUAUUGCACAAUGGGCGCAAGCCGGAUGCAGCCAUUCCGCGUGUAUGAAGAAGGCCUUCGGGUUGUAAAGUACUUUCCUCGGGGAGGCGUUACCCGCAGAAGAAGCACCGGCUAACUCCGUGCCAGCAGCCGCGGUAAUUC